GCUCUUAAACGAGGAAUUCUAGAAAGCACAAGUCAUCAGCUUGUGCUGAUUACGUCCCUGCCCUUUGUACACACCGCCCGUCGCUACUACCGAUUGAAUGGCUUAGUGAGGCCUUCGGAUUGUUGGUAAAAAACUGUAACAGGUUUUCUGCCGACGAGAAGUUGGUCAAACUUGGUCAUUUAGAGGAAGUAAAAGUCGAACAGGUUCCGUAGUGAACCUGCGGAAGGACAUUACAAUCGUUGCGAAUUCCCCUUUUUUUUCGAUAUUAAACAUCGUCCUUAUAAAA
rnacentral:rRNA from 1 species